rnacentral:rRNA from 1 species
UACGUAGGGUGCAAGCGUUGUUCGGAAUUACUGGGCGUAAAGGGCGCGUAGGCGGCCAUCUAAGUCAGACGUGAAAUCCCUCGGCUCAACCGAGGAACUGCGUCUGAUACUGGAAGGCUUGAAUCCGGGAGAGGGAUGUGGAAUUCCAGGUGUAGCGGUGAAAUGCGUAGAUAUCUGGAGGAACACCGGUGGCGAAGGCGGCAUCCUGGACCGGUAUUGACGCUGAGGCGCGAAAGCUAGGGGAGCAAACGGG